GGUUGGUCCAAGUGCAGUGGUGUUUACAACUAAUUGCUCACAACCAGUUACAGAUUCCUUUGUUCCUUCUCCACUCCCACUGCUCCACUUGAGCAGCCUUUA
ensembl:misc_RNA Y_RNA Y RNA